UACGUAGGUGGCAAGCGAUACUCGGAAUCACUAGGCGUAAAGCGCAGGUAGGCGGUUCAGUAAGUCUUUUGUGAAAGCUCCCGGCUCAACUGGGAGAGGCCAAGGGAAACUACUGGACUAGAGUGUGGUAGGGGAUACUGGAAUUCCUGGUGUAGCGGUGAAAUGCGUAGAUAUCAGGAGGAAUACCUAUGGCGAAAGCAGGUAUCUGGGCCGUACCUGACGCUAAAACGCGACAGCAUAGGGAGCGAACGGG
rnacentral:rRNA from 1 species